rnacentral:miRNA from 1 species
AGAUUGAUAUACGUUACUCACAGU